UACGGGGGGGGCAAGCGUUGUUCGGAAUUACUGGGCGUAAAGGGCGCGUAGGCGGGUGGCCAAGUCUCUCGUGAAAGCCCACGGCUCAACCCUGGAAUUGGGGGAGAUACUGUCUGUCUUGAGUCCGGGAGAGGAGGGUGGAAGUCCCAGUGUAGCGGUGAAAUGCGUAGAUAUUGGGAGGAACACCGGUGGCGAAGGCGGCUCUCUGGACCGGUACUGACGCUGAGGCUCGAAAGCUAGGGGACCAAACGGG
rnacentral:rRNA from 1 species